CAGGCAAGAUUGUUGGUAGAUCAGGUUGAAUCAAUCUUUUUCACAUCACUUGUAAGGGGUAUCUAACCCUUCAGCUGCUGGUGGGUGGAUGGUGAAGGUAAUUUAGCCUGCAAGUUGCCUAAGUUAGAACUUAAUUUAGGGAGUGGUUUUAGACAUAGAAUCUAAAUCCAUGUGAAUUUGACAAAAACCUCAACCUAAAAAUGGAAAAGGAAAAGGAAAUUAUGAAAGACGCGCAUUUAGAACUCAACUUUUAUUUAGUAUUAGUUGCUCCCAUUUUAACUGCCAUUGCUUAGGAGUACUUUUCUAAGCCAUGUGGACACCAACAAAAUUUGCGGAGUUUGCUCCAAUAUAUAAUGCCCCAAGAUGCUGUUGCACCUCAGUGAUCAAAGUAGAUCCACCAUAUUGAUCAUCAAAACUCACUGUUUCCAAUAUGGUUCCGUAGUAACUGAUCCUUUGUCCUGUGAGAAUUGUGGUUGGUGGAGAUUGAUUAUUUGGGACAUUCACUGCCACCCAAAAAUUUCCUGAUGCAGUCCUCUUAAUGUUAACUGGCCUUCCCCGGAAACUUACGAAAGUUUCUGCUGUAGAUGCUUUAGGACCUCUAAGCCAAAACUUCAGAAUUCUGUUAGCAUUGAACUCUGAGACGAGAACAAACAUUCCAUCAUUGCUGACUGCAGUCCCCGCCGCUCCAGAGAGGCCUCUCAACAACACGGUAACAUUCUUUGUCUCUGGGUCAUAUCUUAAUAGCCUUCCAGUUGCAUCGCUGGAAAAUUGAGUUGUGUUGCCACUUGCGAGUGCCCGUGAAAUGUUUCUGCAUUAUGUACGAUGCUACUUUUAGUGUAUUUAUCCACUAAUUUCAUGUAUGAUCAAUGAAAUGAGAGAAACAAAUUGGCAAAUAACCUUAGCUGGAUUGUAGUACUGAAGUCUGUAAAAUAGACCAGCCCGGACAAUGGGUCAACGUCUAAACCAUUAAGGAAGCAGAAGGGCACCCCUUCUGCACUUGUUGCAAGUUUGGUUGCAAGCCUUCCAUUAGUACCCGCCACAAAGAGCCCGGAAUACGCAUCGGCAAUGUACAUCUGGUUCCUUAGAUUGUUGAAACUCAAACCUAAUGGUCUUCCACACGUGGGUCCUGAAUCUGGGUCUGUAGUGCCAUCACACACUGCCUUGGACCUGAAUCAGAGUCAUCAAGAGACCGGAAUUAAUAAGUUAGAGCUUGGUGUACAAACACAUAUUUUUGCAAAAAUCCAUGGCUAAUGCUGUGUUUAUCCUUUCUUUUUUUAUUCAUUUGCAGGAAGCAAGGUUUUUCUCUAUUGGGUGUGGGUUGGUUUCUGACCAGAAGACGAGAACCCACUGCAUUUACACAAAUAUGAUAUUGUUGAUGGAGGCCUGAAUGAGGGCUCUCUCCAUCUAAAAGGUUACCUGGUCGGUGUACAGAAGGCA
rnacentral:lncRNA from 1 species